GAUGAACGCUGGCGGCGUGCCUAAUACAUGCAAGUCGAGCGAACAGACGAGGAGCUUGCUCCUCUGACGUUAGCGGCGGACGGGUGAGUAACACGUGGAUAACCUACCUAUAAGACUGGGAUAACUUCGGGAAACCGGAGCUAAUACCGGAUAAUAUAUUGAACCUCAUGGUUCAAUAGUGAAAGACGGUUUUGCUGUCACUUAUAGAUGGAUCCGCGCCGCAUUAGCUAGUUGGUAAGGUAACGGCUUACCAAGGCAACGAUGCGUAGCCGACCUGAGAGGGUGAUCGGCCACACUGGAACUGAGACACGGUCCAGACUCCUACGGGAGGCAGCAGUAGGGAAUCUUCCGCAAUGGGCGAAAGCUUGACGGAGCAACGCCGCGUGAGUGAUGAAGGUCUUCGGAUCGUAAAACUCUGUUAUUAGGGAAGAACAAAUGUGUAAGUAGCUAUGCACGUCUUGACGGUACCUAAUCAGAAAGCAACGGCUAACUACGUG
rnacentral:rRNA from 1 species